UUGCUAAGAAAGCUUAACCUUCCUCGAUC
rnacentral:piRNA from 1 species